GGACAUUGACGCAGAUGAUUGCAACUCAACACCGCCCUCCCCUCAUAGACCGGACAGACGCGGACGGAAUGUGAGACAACGGUCACCUGAGCACAAAGAGGAACACCUGGUGAGGGGACAUGCAUCACACCGAGGGUGUGUGCAGACCACUACCAGCAUGAAGCUGCAAAUCAAAGCAUCAGAGGUGUUUCAUCUCUUUGCUGGAGUCUCAGUUUUUCAGAUCCUCGCCCAGCAUCUACGAUCCAUGCGCACAAGGGAGAGACCUUGACGAGGCGCAUGAGAAGAAAACCAGCACAUUGGGGUAUGACUAAAACCUUCAAAGCAUUCUCCGUCAGCCAGAUCUUUUUUGCGAUUCAGCCUAUAAUACAGAUGAGCAGCACAUGGAAAAGGAUAUUCUGUUUUUUUUUUUUCUUCUUCAUAUUCUACAGCAUGUGUUACUGUAUUUGUGUUUCACUGGACCUUGAGCUUCAUGGAGCCCCCGCAAAAUGAAGUGUGAGCUUGCAGCA